rnacentral:rRNA from 1 species
UACGUAGGGUGUGAGCGUUGUCCGGAAUUACUGGGCGUAAAGAGCUCGUAGGUGGUUUGUCGCGUUGUUCGUGAAAACUCACAGCUUAACUGUGGGCGUGCGGGCGAUACGGGCAGACUGGAGUACUGCAGGGGAGACUGGAAUUCCUGGUGUAGCGGUGGAAUGCGCAGAUAUCAGGAGGAACACCGGUGGCGAAGGCGGGUCUCUGGGCAGUAACUGACGCUGAGGAGCGAAAGCGUGGGGAGCGAACAGG